rnacentral:rRNA from 1 species
UUAGUUUUUAUUUAUUAAUUUUUAUUAUUUUUUAAAAAAUUAUUAGAAAUAACUAUAAAAUUUAAAGUUUUAGUAUUGUUUAAAGAAAAAAUAAUUUUAAUAAUAGUUUAUUAGUAUUGUAAAAGAAAAUUGAAAUAAUUUGAAAAAAUUUUAUUUUAAAAGAAAAUUUAAUUUAUUGUACCUUGUGUAUCAGUGUUUAUUAAAUAAAAAAUAAAUAUUUAUUUUUCUCGAUUUUAAAAGAGUUAAUAUAAUAUUUAAGUUAAUGUGAUAAAAUUAUUUAUAAUAUUAUAUUAGAAAUGAAAUGUUAUUCGUUUUUAAAGGUAUCUAGUUUUUUAAGAAAUAAAUUUAAUUUAGAAAUUAUAAAUUUACUUAAUUAUUUAUUUAAUUAAUUAAUUUAUAAUUUUAAUGUUUUAUGGGAUAAGCUAUAAAAUAAAUUUUUAAAAAUAUUAAAUAGAUUUAAUAAAUAUAUGCUUAGAAUUAGCAAUUAUUAAAAAAUGUGUUAUAAUUUAUUUUAUAAAUUAAAUUAUUUAUUAAAUUUUAAUUAUUUAUUAAAAUGUUAGUUUUAAUUAUUAAAAUUAAGUAAUAAUGAUAAAAUUAGUAUAUAAUAAUGUUAAAAUUAAUUUAUAUGAAAAGUUUAAAUAAAG